rnacentral:rRNA from 2 species
GGUUAAGCGACUAAGCGUACACGGUGGAUGCCCUGGCAGUCAGAGGCGAUGAAGGGCGUGCUAAUCUGCGAUAAGCGCCGGUAAGGUGAUAUGAACCGUUAUAACCGGCGAUACCCGAAUGGGGAAACCCAGUGUGAUUCGUCACACUAUCAUUACGUGAAUACAUAGCGUAAUGAAGCGAACCGGGGGAACUGAAACAUCUAAGUACCCCGAGGAAAAGAAAUCAACCGAGAUUCCCCCAGUAGCGGCGAGCGAACGGGGAGGAGCCCAGAGCCUGAAUCAGCAUGUGUGUUAGUGGAAGCGUCUGGAAAGGCGCGCGAUACAGGGUGACAGCCCCGUACACAAAAGCGCAUGUGUUGUGAGCUCGAUGAGUAGGGCGGGACACGUGGUAUCCUGUCUGAAUAUGGGGGGACCAUCCUCCAAGGCUAAAUACUCCUGACUGACCGAUAGUGAACCAGUACCGUGAGGGAAAGGCGAAAAGAACCCCGGCGAGGGGAGUGAAAAAGAACCUGAAACCGUGUACGUACAAGCAGUGGGAGCACCCUUUGGGGUGUGACUGCGUACCUUUUGUAUAAUGGGUCAGCGACUUAUAUUCUGUAGCAAGGUUAACCGAAUAGGGGAGCCGGAGGGAAACCGAGUCUUAAU